AGAGUUUGAUCAUGGCUCAGGAUGAACGCUAGCUACAGGCUUAACACAUGCAAGUCGAGGGGCAGCAUGUUGGUUGCUUGCAACCAACGAUGGCGACCGGCGCACGGGUGAGUAACGCGUAUCCAACCUACCCUUGUCCAUCGGAUAACCCGUCGAAAGGCGGCCUAACACGAUAUGCGGUUCACAGCAGGCAUCUAACGUGAACGAAAUGUAAAGGAGAAGGAUGGGGAUGCGUCUGAUUAGCUUGGUUGGCGGGGUAACGGCCACCAAGGCGACGAUCAGUAGGGGUUCUGAGAGGAAGGUCCCCCANAUUGGAACUGAGACACGGUCCAAACGUCCUAGGGAGGCA
rnacentral:rRNA from 1 species